UACGAAGGGGGCUAGCGUUGCUCGGAUUGACUGGGCGUAAAGGGCGCGUAGGCGGUUCGUAAAGUCAGACGUGAAAUCCCUGGGCUCAACCUGGGGGCUGCGUUUGAUACGUGCGGACUUGAGUGCGGAAGAGGGUCGUGGAAUUCCCAGUGUAGAGGUGAAAUUCGUAGAUAUUGGGAAGAACACCGGUGGCGAAGGCGGCGACCUGGUCCGAUACUGACGCUGAGGCGCGAAAGCGUGGGGAGCAAACAGG
rnacentral:rRNA from 1 species